rnacentral:rRNA from 1 species
UACGUAGGGUGCGAGCGUUAAUCGGAAUUACUGGGCGUAAAGCGUGCGCAGGCGGUCUGUUAAGACAGAUGUGAAAUCCCCGGGCCUAACCUGGGAACUGCAUUUGUGACUGGCAGGCUAGAGUAUGGCAGAGGGGGGUAGAAUUCCACGUGUAGCAGUGAAAUGCGUAGAGAUGUGGAGGAAUACCGAUGGCGAAGGCAGCCCCCUGGGCCAAUACUGACGCUCAUGCACGAAAGCGUGGGGAGCAAACAGG